rnacentral:sRNA from 1 species
GCUGGGUGCGGUGGCAUAUACCUGUUAUCCCAGCAUCUCGGGAGGCUGAGGUAGGAGGAUCAUGAGUUCAAAGCCAGCCUCAGCAACAGCGAGGUGCUAAGCAACUUAGUGAGACCCUGUCUCUA